GGGUGAUUAGCUCAGCUGGGAGAGCGCCUGCCUUGCACGCAGGAGGUCGGCGGUUCGAUCCCGUCAUCACCCACCA
rnacentral:tRNA from 1 species